rnacentral:rRNA from 1 species
CCCCAGACUCCUACGGAGGCAGCAGUGAGGAAUAUUGGUCAAUGGCCGAAGGGCUGAACCAGCCAAGCCGCGUGAAGGAAUAAGGCCCUACGGGUCGUAAACUUCUUUAGUCAGGGAACAAAGGGUGCCACGUGUGGCGCUGUGAGUGUACCUGAAGAAUAAGCAUCGGCUAACUCCGUGCCAGCAGCCGCGGUAAUACGGAGGAUGCGAGCGUUAUCCGGAUUUAUUGGGUUUAAAGGGAGCGUAGAUGGGUUGUUAAGUCAGUUGUGAAAGUUUGCGGCUCAACCGUAAAAUUGCAAUUGAUACUGGCAGUCUUGAGUACAGUUGAGGUAGGCGGAAUUCGUGGUGUAGCGGUGAAAUGCUUAGAUAUCACGAAGAACUCCGAUUGCGAAGGCAGCUUACUAAACUGCCACUGACAUUGAUGCUCGAAAGUGUGGGUAUCAAACAGGAUUAGAUACCCCAGUA